AUUGAACGCUGGCGGCAGGCCUAACACAUGCAAGUCGAGCGGAUGAAGGGAGCUUGCUCCUGGAUUCAGCGGCGGACGGGUGAGUAAUGCCUAGGAAUCUGCCUGGUAGUGGGGGAUAACGUCCGGAAACGGGCGCUAAUACCGCAUACGUCCUGAGGGAGAAAGUGGGGGAUCUUCGGACCUCACGCUAUCAGAUGAGCCUAGGUCGGAUUAGCUAGUUGGUGGGGUAAAGGCCUACCAAGGCGGCGAUCCGUAACUGGUCUGAGAGGAUGAUCAGUCACACUGGAACUGAGACACGGUCCAGACUCCUACGGGAGGCAGCAGUGGGGAAUAUUGGACAAUGGGCGAAAGCCUGAUCCAGCCAUGCCGCGUGUGUGAAGAAGGUCUUCGGAUUGUAAAGCACUUUAAGUUGGGAGGAAGGGCAGUAAGUUAAUACCUUGCUGUUUUGACGUUACCAACAGAGUAAGCACCGGCUAACUUCGUG
rnacentral:rRNA from 1 species